GAUGAACGCUGGCGGCGUGCUUAACACAUGCAAGUCGAACGAAGCACUUUAUUUGAUUUCCUUCGGGACUGAUUAUUUUGUGACUGAGUGGCGGACGGGUGAGUAACGCGUGGGUAACCUGCCUUGUACAGGGGGAUAACAGUUGGAAACGGCUGCUAAUACCGCAUAAGCGCACGGCAUCGCAUGAUGCAGUGUGAAAAACUCCGGUGGUAUAAGAUGGACCCGCGUUGGAUUAGCUAGUUGGUGAGGUAACGGCCCACCAAGGCGACGAUCCAUAGCCGACCUGAGAGGGUGACCGGCCACAUUGGGACUGAGACACGGCCCAAACUCCUACGGGAAGCAGCAGUGGGGAAUAUUGCACAAUGGGCGAAAGCCUGAUGCAGCGACGCCGCGUGAGCGAAGAAGUAUUUCGGUAUGUAAAGCUCUAUCAGCAGGGAAGAUAAUGACGGUACCUGACUAAGAAGCACCGGCUAAAUACGUG
rnacentral:rRNA from 1 species